GAGUGUGUGGCUUAAUGGAUAAGGUGUCUGACUACAGAUCAAAAGGUUGAGGGUUCAAGUCCCUUUGCUGUUG
rnacentral:tRNA from 1 species